rnacentral:rRNA from 1 species
AGGACAAACGCUGGCGGCGUGUAUUAGGCAUGCAAGUCGUACGCACACUUCGGUGUGAGUGGCGGACGGGUGAGUAACACGUGGGUAACCUGCCCUGGAGUGGGGAAUAACUCGCCGAAAGGCGAGCUAAUACCGCAUACCACCCCCGGUGAGAAUCCGAGCGGUAAAAGCAGUAAUGCGCUCUAGGAGGGGCCUGCGGUCGAUUAGCUAGUUGGUGGGGUAAUGGCUCACCAAGGCGACGAUCGAUAGCUGGUCUGAGAGGAUGGUCAGCCACACGGGGACUGAGAUACGGCCCCGACUCCUACGGGAGGCAGCAGCUAAGAAUCUGCGCAAGUGGGACGAAAGCCUAGACGCAGACAACGCCGGCGUCGGGGGACGAAGGUUUUCGGACUUACGGUAAACCCCUUUGACGGAGGGAAGUAAGUUCGUGACGUACCGUCGACGAAA